CCAUGACGUUCAGCGGAUCUGG
rnacentral:siRNA from 1 species